rnacentral:SRP_RNA from 1 species
GAAGAAUCCUUGCUCAAGGUGUAUUGAGUGAAUUAGGUCAGGUCUUGACGGAAGCAGCCUUAAGGUCGGUCGUCUGUGGGUAGGGAUUCUUGAUA